ACCUCAAAUCAGGUAAGAAUACC
rnacentral:rRNA from 1 species